ensembl:snRNA U2 U2 spliceosomal RNA
AUUUCAUUUCAAACAUUUACUUUAAUAAAACUUUUAAAUCUGGUGUGUCCUUGAUGUGAGGACUGUAUAUUAGGUUGAUUUUUGAAACGGCAGGGUUAGAACAGAAGCUUGCUUUGUCUGCCCCAUGCAUCGACCUGGUAUUGCAGUGCUUCCAGGAACGGUGUAUCUCCU